GGAGAGGCUCUGGCAGCUUUUCC
rnacentral:misc_RNA from 1 species